GCGGAUGCGACGCGGAGGGACAUUACCGAGUUAUUCAACUCAUCAACCCUGUGAACUUACCUAAACGUUGCUUCGGCGGGAACAGACGGCCCCGUAAAACGGGCCGCCCCCGCCAGAGGACCCCUAACUCUGUUUCUAUUAUGUUUCUUCUGAGUAAAACAAGCAAAUAAAUUAAAACUUUCAACAACGGAUCUCUUGGCUCUGGCAUCGAUGAAGAACGCAGCGAAAUGCGAUAAGUAAUGUGAAUUGCAGAAUUCAGUGAAUCAUCGAAUCUUUGAACGCACAUUGCGCCCGCCAGUAUUCUGGCGGGCAUGCCUGUUCGAGCGUCAUUACAACCCUCAGGCCCCCGGGCCUGGCGUUGGGGAUCGGCGGAGCCCCCCCGUGGGCACACGCCGUCCCCCAAAUACAGUGGCGGUCCCGCCGCAGCUUCCAUCGCGUAGUAGCUAACACCUCGCGACUGGAGAGCGGCGCGGCCACGCCGUAAAACACCCAACUCUUCUGAAGUUGACCUCGAAUCAGGUAGGAAUACCCGCUGAACUUAAGCAUAUCAAUAAGCGGAGGAAAAGAAACCAACAGGGAUUGCCCCAGUAACGGCGAGUGAAGCGGCAACAGCUCAAAUUUGAAAUCUGGCUCUCGGGCCCGAGUUGUAAUUUGUAGAGGAUGCUUUUGGUGAGGUGCCUUCCGAGUUCCCUGGAACGGGACGCCAUAGAGGGUGAGAGCCCCGUCUGGUUGGACGCCGAACCUCUGUAAAGCUCCUUCGACGAGUCGAGUAGUUUGGGAAUGCUGCUCUAAAUGGGAGGUAUAUGUCUUCUAAAGCUAAAUACCGGCCAGAGACCGAUAGCGCACAAGUAGAGUGAUCGAAAGAUGAAAAGAACUUUGAAAAGAGAGUUAAACAGUACGUGAAAUUGUUGAAAGGGAAGCGCUUGUGACCAGACUUGGGCUUGGUUGAUCAUCCCGGGGUUCUCCCCCGGUGCACUCUUCCGGCCCAAGGCCAGCAUCAGUUCGCCCUGGGGGACAAAGGCAUCGGGGAACGUGGCUCUUCUCCGGGAGUGUUAUAGCCCGUUGCGUAAUACCCUGUGGCGGACUGAGGUUCGCGCAUCGCAAGGAUGCUGCGAAGCCCCCAGGCUUU
rnacentral:rRNA from 1 species